rnacentral:rRNA from 1 species
UCUNCCGCAAUGGACGAGAGUCUGACGGAGCNACGCCGCGUGAGUGAAGAAGGCCUUCGGGUCGUAAAACUCUGUUGCCGGGGAAGAACAAGUGCCGUUCGAACAGGGCGGCACCUUGACGGUACCCGGCCAGAAAGCCACGGCUAACUACGUGCCAGCAGCCGCGGUAAUACGUAGGUGGCAAGCGUUGUUCGGAAUUAUUGGGCGUAAAGCGCGCGCAAGCGGCUUCUUAAGUCUGAUGUGAAAUCUUGCGGCUCAACCGCAAGCGGUCAUUGGAAACUGGGAGGCUUGAGAGCAGAAGAGGAGAGUGGAAUGCCACGUGUAGCGGUGGAAUGCGUAGAGAUGUGGAGGAACACCAGUGGCGAAGGCGGCUCUCUGGUCUGUAACUGACGCUGAGGCGCGAAAGCGUGGGGAGCAAACAGG